rnacentral:rRNA from 1 species
GUAGGUGGCAAGCGUUGUCCGGAAUUAUUGGGCGUAAAGCGCGCGCAGGCGGUUCUUUAAGUCUGAUGUGAAAGCCCACGGCUCAACCGUGGAGGGUCAUUGGAAACUGGAGAACUUGAGUACAGAAGAGGAAAGCGGAAUUCCACGUGUAGCGGUGAAAUGCGUAGAGAUGUGGAGGAACACCAGUGGCGAAGGCGGCUUUCUGGUCUGUAACUGACGCUGAGGCGCGAAAGCGUGGGGGGAGCAAACAGGAUUAGAUACCCUGGUAGUCCACGCCGUAAACGAUGAGUGCUAAGUGUUAGGGGGUCUCCGCCCCCCCCUUAGUGCUGCAGCUAACGCAUUAAGCACUCCCGCCUGGGGAGUACGGCCGCAAGGCUG